rnacentral:rRNA from 1 species
UACGUAGGGUGCAAGCGUUGUCCGGAAUUAUUGGGCGUAAAGAGCUCGUAGGCGGUUUGUCGCGUCUGCUGUGAAAACCCGAGGCUCAACCUCGGGCCUGCAGUGGGUACGGGCAGACUAGAGUGCGGUAGGGGAGAUUGGAAUUCCUGGUGUAGCGGUGGAAUGCGCAGAUAUCAGGAGGAACACCGAUGGCGAAGGCAGAUCUCUGGGCCGUAACUGACGCUGAGGAGCGAAAGCAUGAGGAGCGAACAGG